rnacentral:lncRNA from 1 species
CCGUAAUACAAAUGUAUACCUCAACCUGACAACUAGAAUCCAUUACUCUUAUUAUUCACUAAGAAAAGACAAUGUCCUAUGGGGAAUUUUCUUGCAGUGUUAUUUAGGUAGUUUCCUGAAAGGCAAUGUGUAUUGCCGAUAGUUCAAAAUUUCUGGAAAAGAGUUAGAGCAAGGUCCAUUGCACAGAAAAAGUAUUGCUGAAGGAAGGAGGCAACCUUGUGGCAAUGCAAGCAGGUCCAAUGGUUGGAGAAUAGAAAUGAAACCCCUGCAUGUGGAUUCCAGAGUAAAAAUAUACUCGGUGGGGAUGUUACAUUCAGGUCCAAGAUUUAAAGCUCUAUAGUGAGGAAAAUCAAGAUGACAGAUGCAAAGAGACAGUAAAUUACUGACACACUCCUUUUCAAUCAUGCUUUGAAGUGUUAAAGAAUUCAGACCAAAUCUUAACCAUGAAAGCUUUGUAAGAGUCAAGCUGCAAUUUACCAGGCCUGCGGAAUGUAAUUCAUGUAUUUUUAAAGAAUGUAUUUUUUUCAAAUCUUCAGGUUUGGGACGAG